rnacentral:lncRNA from 1 species
CCAAUCCUUAACAACCAUUUCUGGAAGCAAAUUCCUCCUGAAUUCCAACCUGAACCUCCUCUGGCACAGCUUGAAGCUGUGUCCUCUCACCCUGGUUGCCUGGGAGAAGAACCCUCACCUUGCUAAAACAUUCUUUUAGCUGGUUGUAAAGAGUGAUAAGGUUUCCCCUGAGCCUCUCUUCUCCAGACUAAACAGCCUCAGUUCCCUCAGCUUCUCCUCAUAUGAAUUACUCUCUAGAUCCUAAAAAGAAAUGUGAGGUUUCACUGGAAGUCAGUGGUACUUAGGCUCUAAAGUUACUUACAUGCAUUUAAAGCUAUAUUCAGUGAUUUGACAAGCAAUUUAUGGAUAAACUAUUAUUUCUAAGCUAAACAGAAUUUCAGGCUAAUUUUAAGAUUAUUCUUAAGUGUCCCUAAAUCUAAUAAGAUAGAUAAGUUCAUCAUUGCACCUAUAAUUAUCCUAAUAUAUUUACAUGUCCUUUUAACACCUGUUUUAGGCUGUUUGCAGUGUUCUUAAUAAAAAGUUAGAUAUGAUCUGUGUACUGUCAGAACGACUCCACACCAUGCACGCCUAUGUAUAUAUAUACACACAUCAUUCCAUUUCACUAACUGCUUUUACUGUUGUGUAAAAAAGCUUCUUUACUUUCUAGAAAUGGAAUCUGUUCUCAUUCUUCACAGGAAUGACUACCUCUCCCUCCUAGAAAAAUGGUGGAACUGGUAACCCAGAGCUUGCUUGGGAUGUGGAUAUCUGUUAAAGGCCUUCCUUUAAAUCAGGGACCUGAUUUCAGAUCUGCCUCCUAUGGAAAUAUACCCACAACAAAACUCCUGAAUAUAUUGCAGUGGGCAUCUCAGUCUCUUCUGCAACAGCCCCACACACUGCAACAGGUAUGUGACCACAAAUCUGCCUCUUUCAAGAAGCCUAUUUGAAUAGUCCCAGCCCAAAAAGGUAUCCCAAUACCCUGUGAUCAGCCUGUUCAGGGGCGUGUUGUUUGAGAACUGGAACUGCUGAAGAUGUUGAGGGCUGAUGCUGCACAAAGCUCUGCUUGGCCCAGAGCAGAUGGACUCACUAUGGAUGCAUUCAGGAGCCUGGAUUGGCACUGUCGUUGCCUGCAGCCUGUCUCACCUGCUGUGAACAUGUUGGACCCUGCUACAAGCCCCUGUGCAGGACAUGGGGAAAAUCUGGUUUUGUGGUCAAUUAAAAGCAUUAACUUUAUCUAGUUUCUGAGGAGAAGGCAGAAAGAUGCAGUAGAAAAUAAAAAUAAAUUCACAUUGACA